AACACAAAGGUGCCUUUGCCAAUAUUACGUUUCGCUUUGACAAGCCCUGAGAUUUCUGAGGGGAAUCCAGGAUAAAGGGGAUCAGGUCAUUCAUUUAUGUUGUGUGUCAAUAUCAUUUAAAGAUACAGCCUC
rfam:Myotis brandtii contig241649, whole genome shotgun sequence.